CUGGUACUGAGACACGGACCAGACUCCUACGGGAGGCAGCAGUGAGGAAUAUUGCGCAAUGGAGGCAACUCUGACGCAGCCAUGCCGCGUGCAGGAAGAAGGCGCUACGCGUUGUAAACUGCUUUUAACCGGGAAGAAACCCCAGGACGUGUCCUGGGUUGACGGUACCGGAGGAAUAAGCACCGGCUAACUUCGUGCCAGCAGCCGCGGUAAUACGAAGGGUGCAAGCGUUAUCCGGAUUCAUUGGGUUUAAAGGGUGCGUAGGCGGGGUGGUAAGUCAGUGGUGAAAUCCUGCGGCUCAACCGUAGAAUUGCCAUUGAUACUGCCAUUCUUGAGUAGGCUCGACGUGGGCGGAAUGUGCCGUGUAGCGGUGAAAUGCUUAGAUAUGGCACAGAACACCGAUAGUGAAGACAGCUCACGAGGGCCAAACUGACGCUGAGGCACGAAAGCGUGGGGAUCGAACAGGAUUAGAUACCCUGGUAGUCCACGCUGUAAACGAUGAUCACUCGAGAUCGGCGAUAUACGGUCGGUCUCCUAGCGAAAGCGUUAAGUGAUCCACCUGGGGAGUACGACCGCAAGGUUGAAACUCAAAGGAAUUGACGGGGGCCCGCACAAGCGGUGGAGCAUGUGGUUUAAUUCGAUGAUACGCGAGGAACCUUACCAAGGCUUAAAUGUAGAUUGACCGGUUUGGAAACAGACCCUUCGCAAGACAAUUUACAAGGUGCUGCAUGGUUGUCGUCAGCUCGUGCCGUGAGGUGUCGGGUUAAGUCCCAUAACGAGCGCAACCCCUACUGCUAGUUGCCAGCGGAUAAUGCCGGGGACUUUAGCGGAACUGCCCGCGUAAGCGGUGAGGAAGGUGGGGACGACGUCAAGUCAUCACGGCCCUUACGUCCUGGGCUACACACGUGCUACAAUGGCGAGGAACAACGGGAUGCUACCGCGUGAGCGGAUGCCGACCCCUAAAACUCGUCUCAGUUCGGAUCGGAGUCUGCAACCCGACUCCGUGAAGCUGGAAUCGCUAGUAAUCGCAUAUCAGCCAUGAUGCGGUGAAUACGUUCCCGGGCCUUGUACACACCGCCCGUCAAGCCAUGGAAGCCG
rnacentral:rRNA from 1 species